rnacentral:tRNA from 1 species
CCUUUCAUCGUCUAGUGGUUAGGACACCAGGUUCUGAUCCUGGUGACUUGGGUUCAAAUCCCAAUGAGAGGU